rnacentral:rRNA from 1 species
UCGGGAAUUUUGGGCAAUGGGGGAAACCCUGACCCAGCAACGCCGCGUGAAGGAUGAAGUAUUUCGGUAUGUAAACUUCGAAAGAAUAGGAAGAAUAAAUGACGGUACUAUUUAUAAGGUCCGGCUAACUACGUGCCAGCAGCCGCGGUAAUACGUAGGGACCAAGCGUUGUUCGGAUUUACUGGGCGUAAAGCGCGCGUAGGUGGUUUGUUAAGUUGGAUGUGAAAUCCCCGGGCUCAACCUGGGAACUGCGUUCAAAACUGACUGACUAGAGUAUGGUAGAGGGUGGUGGAAUUUCCUGUGUAGCGGUGAAAUGCGUAGAUAUAGGAAGGAACACCAGUGGCGAAGGCGACCACCUGGACUGAUACUGACACUGAGGUGCGAAAGCGUGGGGAGCAAACAGGAUUAGAUACCCAAGUAGUCCCUGAGCGGGCUGGCAAGGCGCAU